GAUGAACGCUGGCGGCGUGCUUAACACAUGCAAGUCGAACGGGAAACCUUUUAAUGAAGCUUCGGCAGAUUUAGCUGGUUUCUAGUGGCGGACGGGUGAGUAACGCGUGGGUAACCUGCCUUAUACAGGGGGAUAACAGUCAGAAAUGACUGCUAAUACCGCAUAAGCGCACAGGACCGCAUGGUCCGGUGUGAAAAACUCCGGUGGUAUAAGAUGGACCCGCGUUGGAUUAGCUUGUUGGUGGGGUAACGGCUCACCAAGGCGACGAUCCAUAGCCGGCCUGGGAGGGUGACCGGCCACAUUGGGACUGAGACACGGCCCAGACUCCUACGGGAGGCAGCAGUGGGGAAUACUGCACAAUGGGGGAAACCCUGAUGCAGCGACGCCGCGUGAAGGAAGAAGUAUCUCGGUAUGUAAACUUCUAUCAGCAGGGAAGAUAGUGACGGUACCUGACGAAGAAGCCCCGGCUAACUACGUG
rnacentral:rRNA from 1 species